GAAUGGUAUGAGGAUUAUGAG
rnacentral:siRNA from 1 species